UGUAGGAAAACAUAGUGUGAGAAAGAGGGAGUGAUGUUGUUUUAACAACUCUAAAUUAUUUCUGUCUGUCGUGGGGUGACUCUUCCACUUCUAUAAUACCAGUUACAGUCUGGGAAUGUUUUCCUCCCAGUUUUCCUGAGGCCUCUUGCUUUGCUGUCCUGUGGAUACUCUGAACAUUUUCCCCUAUAUUAUCUUCCAGUGGUUAUGGAGCAUGGGGACAGGACUGGGAAAUGAACUCUUUCC
rnacentral:lncRNA from 1 species